CUCACUGGGACUCUACAGCGUCUGAACUUUCGCAGCUCUAGUGCUCCAACUUUCCGAGGGUUCCCCAGAACUUAAGCAGGAUGGAGCAGCUGGAGCCAAAGAACUGGGAAACAUGAACUCCCUGGGAACAAGACACCUGCUUCGACAUAAGUUGCAGACGAAGUAUAGAUUUCUCAGGAGCAGAUCCACAGGGGAUUUGCUAAGAGGCAUGAGGAGUGUGAACUCAGUUACCAGCUCACUACAGAUCCUCCUGGAGGAACAAAUGCUGUAUGGGAUCCCAAAAUAUGGCAAGGUUUCCAGGUGGCGCCGAGCACCAGACGGCUUUGAGUCUGGAGAUAGUUCCACCACAAGGCUCACGACCAGCAGAGGGUGCCACCAUCCCACAGGGAGGCACCCAGGACUCUCCAAUCCUCCCUGGAGAAACUGUGGAACCGCAGAGGAAUCAGGCAGUCCGCUCCCCAGCUGCCAGCUGCUGAAUUAGCAGUCUUUGUCAAGAGUCCUGGGUUCCUAAAUCCAUUCCGGGGCAGUCUUUCCCUCUCUGACUGCUGUCUCAGGCAGGAGGGCUUGGACCACACACGUCUUU